AAAAAAACCCUUUCACAUUAGGUCAAAUUUUAUUUCACACACAUUUCCUCUAACGGUUUUUCUCUUCCGCCAAUUCUUCUUCUUCCCUGUCUGACUCUCAUUCACCGUCUCUUGCUCACUACUCUCCUUCUCUAGCUUCUCACUCUCGCCUUUCUUACUAAGUCUGCCCCUACUAGUGGUGGAAGCAAGGCGCCCAUUGGUAUCUGUACUCUUGUUGAUCGGAAUCGUGCUCCUUCUUCUACACCUUCAAGUUUUUCCACCAGACUACGACGACCCCAAUCAUUCCUCCAUACCUGUUAAUAAGUAAUUUCCUAUUUAUUUAUUUUUGGUUCGAAUAUACACGAUUUUACUGCUCUGUUCAAUUCCUGUUGCAAUAUCUUUUACUUUUUUUGUUUUUUUUUUGUUAUUUGUGGAUCUAGUGAUUUAAGGUACUUGCUCCAUGUCUGCUCUUUCUUUUCAAUAAUUUACAAUGUUUCUUUAAUUUUAUUUUUCUCAAAAUUUCAAUGUUAAUUUCUUGAAGAAUUGAGAAGUACCCAUUAAUGAUUACGGUGUUUAUAGAGUUGGGUUUUGGCUUUAUUUGAUUUAUAAGUUAAUUUGAAUUUCUGGCUAGGUUUUAGAAUUUGGAAAAAGAAGGAAAUAAUGACACAGGGUAGAGACAAAUUCAAGUACUGAACCUAUAGGCCAAAACUUGAUAAAGCUUAUAAGCAAUUUGUGUUUUUUUGUGAUUGUAUUCCCAGUUUUAGUAUUCAUUAUUAUUGCAAUUACCUAUCAACCUCCAAAUCCAUGACUUGGAUCAGCUCUUGCCCUUAACCUCUUUAUUGAUAAUGGAAAUCCACUUUUAAAAAUGAUGAUUCCAUUCUUAAAACAUGUAUGGAAUAUAGCAGCGAUUAUUCCGACGGAGAAAGUAUUAGGCGUUGGUCGUGGUAAUUGUAGCAAUGGUAUUUCAGUGGUCAGUUUGUGCAUGAAGAAAAAUUCUUAGGGAUUUGCUGUAGAGAACUGCUAGCUAGAGGCCACGGCUUCUGAAACAGAUCCUUAAGGGUAAUCAAUUAUCUUUUUAAUAGCUAUCUUAAUUCCUUAUAUUGUUGUCAAUGCUAAUGUUAUGGUCAAUGCUAAUUUUGGAAACAAUUUUAUGGUCAAUGCUAAUGUUGGAACUGAUCCUCUCUACUCUCUUGAUCGGCUCCAAGAGUAGAAUGAUGCUAGUACUUUGGCAGUAGGAGCGACAAAGGCUAGAGACAAAGACUAGGUAAAACAUUUAUCAUCUCUCGUCCAAUUGAAGUAACGUGGAAAAAGAUAACUUUAGACAGACCGCAAGAGCAGUAGCUGCAUCUAACACGAUAAUGUGCAGAGAGCUCAAAGGAAUAGAUAUGAUGCCAUUGUCCUAACAGCUGAUCGUUCAAGAUUCAGUAGAAGAGAAGCAGACAAAAAAUAAAAUGAUUGUACCUCAGCGGAAGAAUUUGUAGAUUUUCUUAUCAACCGAAGUUGUAUCUGUAGUUCAUGUUGUUAGAGGGAGAAUUGCAGUUAUCGUUGACGGAGGAAUACGAAGUGGGGCUUAUGUGUUCAAGGCAUUGGCACUCGGUGCACAAGCAGUCCUUGCAUAUUAUGGCCCAAGAGUCGCUCUUCUACCAUAUUAUAACUCGGCCAUGGCGUCUGGCCAUGCCCCUCAUCCAUAUAUGUGGGGAGCAUCGCAAGUCGCAGUUAUAUUUUCUGAUUAAGAGUUCCGACCAUCUUUAUGUUUGCGUACAAUGAUUUUGGUGUUGGUUCAGUGAUUAUCUAAUAUGCUGUUGGUUCAGUGUUUAAAUGUUAUAUCUUACAUACAUGAUGAAACUAACAGAGCAAGGCAAGAGCUGAACGGCUAGAAGCGAUAUUGUCAACAUCACGAGCAGAAUCAUCAUUACCACCACGACGAUGACGACAUCGGCUCUUUUGUAGGCGUAGUUUUUUUUUUAUCUUUGUAUUCUACAACCUUCUCACAUAGAUUGUUUUAUGUAUUUACAAAUCUUACUAUGUAUAACUGCUUUUUUUUUUGAAUUAA